AUACAAUUGCAAAAGAGGUUUUUUUGGUUGAAAGACCAUAAAAUAGAAUAUUAUCCAUCCCUACUAUUGGUCUUUGUUAUGACUUUCACUUAUCAAUCCCAAUUUAAAUGCAAACAUUUUUGGAAGCCUGAUACUUAAGCAUAAUUCUUUUUGCUAAUGGUAUAAGGUUGGUCUCUGCUUAGGGAAUGGCUGGAUCAUUAAUGGUCCUUCUAAAGAAUAAAAUAGCAAAUUGAGAUUGUUAUGCUGUGGGUUACUCCUUCCUUGGACAAAAACUUAUGGAUAAACAAGCUUUAAAUAGUUUGGAUAGAUAGGAUAAGGUGGUGCCUUUUGAGUUCCAUUUCAUUUUUUCUAGGUUGUUUUGGAGGUUGACUUCUGUUGAAGGUGGCCUUUGUUGCAUAAUAAAUGGCCAGUUUGAAGAAGAGUGAGCUAUAUAGGAAAUAGGAAAUGCUAUACAGGAACUAUUUGAACUCAUACGUGUCUCAUUUAUCUAUGGCAAUCAAUCAAGCAUUGCAUGCAUAUAGAAUUCAUAUGGACGUGGAUGUCUCGACUUUUGUGCAUGUCCAACCACACCUUGUGCAACAACUGAAUGGGUAAAAUAUUCAUAUAUUCUAACCAAAACGGACAUUUGAGGUGAAUUUUUUUUUCUUAGAUUUCUAUCAUCUACAUGACAAGCCUAAAUGUGAUGUGUUAUAGGUUCGACUGUGGUAUCCUUGCACUAAAGUUCAUGGAAUUUUGGAAUGGGGCGACCUUAACUACUUCAGUGGCAGAGGACAAGCUGAACAUGUACAGACUCCAGCUAGUUGUGGAACUAUUGCUCAAUGAACGCAACACUGUUAGAGAUAAAAUUAUGGCCUCCUGUCAUUUGUGACUUUAUGGACUUUAUGUACACCAAUGGGCAACGCGUAAGGGAAAGAAAGACUGCAUGGUGAUGCUGUUGCUAUAGCUUACGAGAGGGAGUAAUAUCAGAAUGAGUCAUAUGUUAUCCUUUUUGUUCGGAUUGUAUGAAGCAAACUUGGUUUACCAUAUGAUCAAAAUUAGGGUUGUUCAUUAAUGUGAAAUAUUGUAUAUGAAAGGGAGUAGGAAAGGAGUUGUUCAUUAUUCUGGGGCAUCUUAUGUCAAUGUCAUAGGUAGGU